rnacentral:rRNA from 1 species
GUCUACAGCCAUGCCACCCUAAAUAAGCCUGAUCCCGUAUGAUCUAGGAAGCUAAGCAGGGUUGGGCUUGGUUAGUACUUGGAUGAGAGACCACCUAGGAAGACCAGAUGCUAUAGGUG